rnacentral:lncRNA from 1 species
CGUAGUGAUGUGCAAUGCCUUGUUGUGACUAAGCCCCUCUGGUGGUAACUCGUCCUCGUGGAAGGUAAUCUUGUGGCUUUCCAGUACCUGCCCCACCAUAUUUGCCAUUUUGCCUCCUAUUAUGUUGCUGGGAACAUAAGCUUCACUUAGUAUUUUCAUUAUGGCAUUUUUAUGUGCCUCAGAGCUUUGCAGAAGAGCCAUCAUAGAAAUCUAUGCUGACGUUUUGUUCAGCUGCUCAAUAACCAAGUACUCUUUGGCAUGUAUCUUCCUCUAAAGGUCAUCGGGUCCAGUUUCAAUAGUCCGCCCAGAGGCUUUCUUGCUGGACUCAGCUAAAUGUUAUGGGGUGUACACCCUGCAUGUCCUAGUCAUGCUUUGUGCAGUGACUGCUUGCCCAGUAUAUGUGUUUCCCUUCCUUCUAGCCUCAGCUGUGUAAUCCCAAAGUAUGACAUUUGGCUUGAACGAGGUCUCUUCUGUCAUGGAGAUAGAAGUUGUCAUCCUGGGAGGUAACAUGUUCCUUUGGAAUCCCGAACUCAACCUUAAUCGGCUUUGGAACCUUUGCAGGAGGUGCUUCAAACUCGAGUGGUACAUACACAUUUAUCACAUCACCCUCAAAGGGCUGAAUCUGAAAAACAAUGGGAUUGAGGGUAACUAUUGGUUUUUAGGCUCAACUCCUUCAACUAUCAAACCGAUUGACCCCUUGGGGUCCCAAUCGUAUUCAAUCUCGAUCAUAUGGAUGCCUCCACCCUUGUGGUCAGGCAGAGGGUUGUUGAAGAAAUUUGGAGUGGGAUCCUUGCUAUAAUGACCUUGUUGUCAAUCAGAUUCUGAAUCUUGUCUUUCAACGAGCGACACUCGUCGAUGGUAUUGCCUUUCAUCCCAGAAUGGUAUGCGCAAGUCUUGUUUGGGUUGAUCCAUUGAGAGGGAUUUU